UGCACAGCUCUCAGACUUCAACACGUCCUUGGGCAGCAGCCCAGACCAGGGACAUCUGCCUAGCCUUUGGUGGUAACCGGCCCCCUCCCCCGCUGCAGGUCCAUGAAUCCAGACAUGGCCCCCAGUGGCAGCACAGGUCAGAACCCCACGAUGGUCUCAGGUGGCAUCACCGGCUAUUCACCCCAGGCUCUUCCUUACUACCCAUCAUUAUCAGGAGACCAGAACGACAGCAAGCAGUCAUAGGGUCAAAGCAGUCAUGCAACAGCAAAGCCACAACAGAAGAAGCCCGCCACCAAGAAGCUCACUGUUGCGCCGUCUGAUUCAAGAGAGGAACGAGCCCAUCUCUUUCCCUUGUGGCUUUCUGGCUUUCAUUAUACACGCCUCCAAAUAAAUCCUAUGGCUGACAGUA